rnacentral:rRNA from 1 species
AGCGAACGCUGGCGGCAGGCCUAACACAUGCAAGUCGAGCGCCCAGCAAUGGGAGCGGCAGACGGGAUAGUAACACGUGGGAACGUACCCUUCAGUUCGGAACAACUCAGGGAAACUUGGGCUAAUACCGAAUACGUCCGUAAGGAGAAAGAUUUAUCGCUGAAGGAUCGGCCCGCGUCUGAUUAGCUAGUUGGUGAGGUAACGGCUCACCAAGGCGACGAUCAGUAGCNGGUCUGAGAGGAUGAUCAGCAUCACUGGGACUGAGACACGGCCCAGACUCCUACGGGAGCAGCAGUGGGGAAUAUUGGACAAUGGGCGCAAGCCUGAUCCAGCCAUGCCGCGUGGAUGAUGAA